CUAUGUGUCACCUGGACGAAAUAACGGAGACCCACCCGCACCGGCCCCUCGGAGUAGGGGUGGGCAACUGCACCAACUCCUUUUUUUUUCCCCCAGCCAUUCCAGCCACUUUUGUCUUCUCAUUUUCCGUUGCAGUCUACGCAAACAACCUCAAAGUCAGCCCUAGUGAAAACUACUUUUCAAAGACUUCCUCUUUAUCGGAGCGCUCCGAACCGACCGACAAGGUCCACAAACAACAAACCUAGAUCGAUUUUAUCUAAACUAGAAAAAAUUUCCAUUUCCGAAAAGAAAGGAAAACGUUCACACGCACGCACUAGUAGGCAAGUUUGCAAGACGGGGUGACUCCACACUCGUCCGUCCCCGUUCCCUUGCUCUAAGCUUGCCUCCGCCGGGAAGCGGAGGAGCCAGCCUUCACCACGCCCAGUAUUGCGCGCUGGGCCCCCGCAGCGCUGCGCUCCGCCCCGCCUCGCGUCCAUCUCGCCCUCCCCGGCUCUUCCCUCCCCGCCCGCCCUGCGCAGGUUCUCGGGCUGCUCUAGUUGCCCGCCCUCUUCGCUGCUCGGGGGCUCCCGAACCCUAUUUGGUCAUCCGGAGAGAGCGCGGAACGAGCGAGCGAGCCAGGCAGCCUGCGCGGAGCCAGCGCUGCGCGCAGGAGGAACGGAAAGGACCACGUUGCGGGCUCCGCUCAGCGCUUGGGGAGCGAGGACUGGCGUUGGCCGCAGCCUCCGCGCAGAGCUCGCGCCACUCUGUCCCACCGACUAGCCGGUGGCCUGUCUCCUUCGGAACAAUGAGACUCCCCGCCGUAGCGACUUCAGCUCCCUUACUCGUGGCUGCGCUGCAGGUGCUGUUCCUCUUGGGAGCUGCGCACAACUCAAAACCCACUCUCUUCCCUCUCUGGAUCAUCUGACAAUUGCUCUGUGCUUGGGAGAGCCCCACCCAGCCUGCCUUCGGCUGCUGAGGCUGGGAAGUUAACUCUUGAUUUCCUGCUGUUUUGUGGUGGGAGAUGAAGGUAU
rnacentral:lncRNA from 1 species